rnacentral:tRNA from 1 species
GCGCCCGUAGCUUAAUGGACAGAGCAUCAGAUUGCGGAUCUGACGGUUGUGGGUUCGACUCCCGCCGGGCGCG